UACGUAGGGUGCGAGCGUUAAUCGGAAUUACUGGGCGUAAAGCGUGCGCAGGCGGUGAUGUAAGACCGAUGUGAAAUCCCCGGGCUUAACCUGGGAACUGCAUUGGUGACUGGCAGGCUUUGAGUGUGGCAGAGGGAGGUAGAAUUCCACGUGUAGCAGUGAAAUGCGUAGAGAUGUGGAGGAAUACCGAUGGCGGAAGGCAGCCUCCUGGGCCA
rnacentral:rRNA from 1 species